AGCGAACGCUGGCGGCAGGCCUAACACAUGCAAGUCGAACGGAUCCUUCGGGAUUAGUGGCGGACGGGUGAGUAACACGUGGGAACGUGCCCUUUGGUUCGGAACAACUCAGGGAAACUUGAGCUAAUACCGGAUGUGCCCUUCGGGGGAAAGAUUUAUCGCCAUUGGAGCGGCCCGCGUCUGAUUAGCUAGUUGGUGAGAUAAAGGCUUACCAAGGCGACGAUCAGUAGCUGGUCUGAGAGGAUGAUCAGCCACAUUGGGACUGAGACACGGCCCAAACUCCUACGGGAGGCAGCAGUGGGGAAUUUUGCGCAAUGGGCGAAAGCCUGACGCAGCCAUGCCGCGUGAAUGAUGAAGGUCUUAGGAUUGUAAAAUUCUUUCACCGGGGACGAUAAUGACGGUACCCGGAGAAGAAGCCCCGGCUAACUUCGUGCCAGCAGCCGCGGUAAAAC
rnacentral:rRNA from 1 species